rnacentral:lncRNA from 1 species
UCUCUCUCUUGUUCCAUUGCAGAGGGCCUGAGGGAGUAUUUUAGCAAGUUUGGAGAUAUUAAUGAAGUUAUGGUGAUGAAGGACCCCACCACGCGCCGAUCCAGGGGUUUCGGGUUUGUUACCUUCAGUGACCCGUCGAGUGUGGACAAGGUGUUGGCGCUGGCGGCACACGAACUCGAUGGCAAAAAGAUCGACCCGAAAGUUGCCUUUCCCCGUCGCGCACAUCCAAAGGUAAGAUGUCGAUGAGGUGCAUGUCUCAUAGGAUCACAGUAAGUAACACGUUUCGGACAUGUCUGCAUUUGAGGAAUGACUCAAUUAUAACAUCGGACUUACUAUUCUAGUUGGUUCUUGUAUCUUGCCCCCCUCCCCCCUUCACGCCACGAAAUAUUAGAAUAUUAUAGAUACCCAAAUUUAAAAAGAAAAGAGGGGGAAAAAACGGUCUAAGUAAUGAUCAUAAUCAAAGUAUUUUUGGUUAUAU